GCACAGGGGUCUUAGAGAACCCAUGCAGCUCCACGGGUUGGUCUUUUCUGGAGUGUGAUCGUACAGUUCCAUGCCUUCAACCCAGUUCUGUGAAGUUGUUUCACUGGAGAACGGGGGCAAAUGUUCACAAAAUGAAAUAAAAUCUUCCUUUUCCAGAGACAUAGUACUCCUACAGACUGAAUUAUUCAUCUUGUCAAGUUUCUGACCCAACAAGAUCACUAGCUUUCUAGCUAGGCUGCGUUUGUUAAAGCAAGUGUCAACUCAAUAAAUACUUUUGUUUAAAGAGAAGAGUAAGGAUCCACCAUGUCUAAAAAUAGACACUUGGAGCUUAGAAUCUGCCAGACCAUAUGCUGUACAACUCCGAGAUGCAGGACCCACAGACACCCUUCUCCUGGGGGUGGUCCAGGAGUGGGUUGGAUACACCCACAUCACACACAGAAGUCUAGACCAUGCCCUGUCAAUACCAUUUCUUAGCUAUUUCUGUAUCAGAACUCAGAAGCGGCAUUAGAGAAAAUCUGCUCUUCCGGUAAGAUAAAACCAAAGCCUAAGGAGAUUAAUUCUUCCAGGAAGGUCAUUUCUAUUCAGGUGGAUACUAGAUUUAGAUUUUAGGAUGGGAAACCAUUAUGUUAUCAUAUUAAAACACAAAUAAGUACACUUUCUCAAAGUGGUUAGAUUCUUUCUGUUAAAAAAAAAUAUAUCCUGUCAAGGUGG